rnacentral:rRNA from 1 species
UACGAAGGGGGGCUAGCGUUGCUCGGAAUCACUGGGCGUAAAGCGCGCGUAGGCGGGUCGUUAAGUCGGGGGUGAAAUCCUGGAGCUCAACUCCAGAACUGCCUUUGAUACUGGAUGUCUCGAGACCGGGAGAGGUGAGUGGAAUUCCGAGUGUAGAGGUGAAAUUCGUAGAUAUUCGGAAGAACACCAGUGGCGAAGGCGGCUCACUGGCCCGGUUCUGACGCUGAGGUGCGAAAGCGUGGGGAGCAAACAGG